rnacentral:rRNA from 1 species
AACGAACGCUGGCGGCAUGCCUAACACAUGCAAGUCGAACGAGACCUUCGGGUCUAGUGGCGCACGGGUGCGUAACGCGUGGGAAUCUGCCCUUGGGUUCGGAAUAACAGUUGGAAACGACUGCUAAUACCGGAUGAUGACGUAAGUCCAAAGAUUUAUCGCCCAAGGAUGAGCCCGCGUAGGAUUAGCUAGUUGGUGAGGUAAAGGCUCACCAAGGCGACGAUCCUUAGCUGGUCUGAGAGGAUGAUCAGCCACACUGGGACUGAGACACGGCCCAGACUCCUACGGGAGGCAGCAGUGGGGAAUAUUGGACAAUGGGCGAAAGCCUGAUCCAGCAAUGCCGCGUGAGUGAUGAAGGCCUUAGGGUUGUAAAGCUCUUUUACCCGGGAUGAUAAUGACAGUACCGGGAGAAUGAGCUCCGGCUAACUCCGUG